rnacentral:tRNA from 1 species
AGUCUUAUAUUCAAAUAUUAAAUGAUAUUAAAUUGCAAAUUUAAAGGAGAUGUAAAUCUAAGGCUU